GAGUGCAUGAGGAGGUGGAGGAUCUGUGUUUGGGAAAGAGGGGAGCACCUGGCAGUGCCUCAGUGGCAGCUGAAGACAGACACGUUAGGUUUUAGUUGUAUAAAAAGAAAACCAAAACCCACCUAUUCCACAGGCACCUCCUUUGGUGUGUGAGUUAAUAAACCUCGGGGCUUCAGGCUGACUCUAUGCCCUCCCAGCUGGCCUCUGCCUGAGCACCUGGGCAGAGGCGAAAUUUCCACCAAUGGGGAAAUGUGCCAGGCACAAGCUUUGCAGAAAACUCGAGAUGGUUUUGAAACCUUGAAUGCGAUGGGCCGACUGCUGACUUGGGAAGGGGAAGCUCUGGGAGCUGCUGCUUGGUUUUGGUUCUGCCUUAUGUGCUCCUGGCUGGGGGAGGCUGACAUCCUCCUCUGGGUCUACAAAAGUCUGAUAGGUGCCUGUGAGAGGGUGCUGUCGCCGCCCAGAGGGAUAGGUGAGGCUGUGGCUGGCAGUUGGCCACCAGCACAGGGCUGCCGACUGCUGAUCCUGCUGCACCAAACCCCAGAAUCAAAGAUCUGGGAGCUCAGCUGAGGAAGGAGCUGCGGAGCGCAGAUGUUGGCGUGUCCGGCGCGGUGCUGGCAGCGCAGCCGGGAGCUGCCUGCAGGAAGGCGGGCGCGUGGGUGUGCGUGUGUGCGAGCUGCGCGAAGCCGAGAGGCUUCCUGUUUCCUUUUUAAGCUUUUAACAGAAUUUGAAAGCAGCCACCGCCGCGACCUGGACCAAUGAUCUGGGCAGAGCGCGGGGGGGAGUUUCAGCUCAGCAGCUCUGGCGCCCGUUACAAACAGCGGCCUUCGCUCCCGGCCACGCGCAGCCCGCGCUCAUCUCAGUGCCCGCUCCCCCGGCCGCCCAGGGGCCCCGGCUGGAGCGGGAGCACAGGAGAUCCGUGGGGAUGCCGGAGCGCAGCAGCGGGUUGGCACUGGCAGCCCCACGGAGGCGCGAGCCGGGCACGGAGGGCUUCUUCCCCACGAGGAAAUAUCUCAGGUGAGCCAAAGGAAGGGGGAGAAGGACUAGAAACCACAUGUACAAACAUGCAGCUGUGAACAAUGGAUGAGAGGCAAGUUAUCAGCUAACGCUGCUCUUCUGAUAACUGCUGUUACCUCAUCUCUUUGAUGACUUUUUUUUGUGCACGUUCAGACCGCUCAGUGCCACUUCAAGGUGAGAUUUUACAGCCUCUCAAAGUUACAGCCUUACAGAUCUAGUGGGCACAGCGGUGACGGAUCAACGGUUGGACCGGACGAUCCAAGCGGUCUCCUCCAACCUUAGUAAUUCUAUGAAACACACAAUUUUUGAAGGAGCUUUUGCUGAAUUCUUCUAGGAGAAAUAAGCUAUCAGAGGAGGUUCAUCCCUGUUGCUAGACUUUGAUACUGGUGACCCUUCACAGCAGCAAUCCCUUUAAAACAGCAAUGCUGGUUCCCGAGAGCUGCCAGCCACUCAGCACAGCUCCUUCCAAUGCCACCCCAACAACACACAGAGCUCUGCUUGCCUUACAUGGUUCCCUCCUUAUCACCAGUUCAACGCUAAUGCAGAGACAGAUGAUGCU